CGUCUUGAAACACGGACCAAGGAGUCUAGCAUGUGCGCGAGUCAUUGGGAACUAAUAAACCCAGAGGCGCAAUGAAAGUGAACAGCGCCGACCUAGCGUCGGCCGCAGGGAAGAUGGCGGCCGGUACGCCCGUCCGCCCGCAUUCCCGAGGCGUUUCGAGAAAUGCCAUCGUUGCGAUUAUCGAGACGCACUGAGAGCGCACACGCUGGGACCCGAAAGAUGGUGAACUAUGCCUGGUCAGGUCGAAGUCAGG
rnacentral:rRNA from 1 species